UACAGAGGGGGCAAGCGUUGUUCGGAAUUACUGGGCGUAAAGGGCGCGUAGGCGGCCUGCUAAGUCGAUCGUGAAAUCCCCGGGCUUAACCCGGGAACUGCGACCGAUACUGGUUGGCUUGAAUUCGGGAGAGGGAUGCGGAAUUCCAGGUGUAGCGGUGAAAUGCGUAGAUAUCUGGAGGAACACCGGUGGCGAAGGCGGCAUCCUGGACCGGCAUUGACGCUGAGGCGCGAAAGCCAGGGGAGCAAACGGC
rnacentral:rRNA from 1 species